rnacentral:rRNA from 1 species
UGAGUAACCUGCCCUUAACUCUGGGAUAAGCCUGGGGAAACUGGGUCUAAUACCGGAUAUGACUCCUCAUCGCAUGGUGGGGGGUGGAAAGCUUUUUGUGGUUUUGGAUGGACUCGCGGCCUAUCAGCUUGUUGGUGAGGUAAUGGCUCACCAAGGCGACGACGGGUAGCCGGCCUGAGAGGGUGACCGGCCACACUGGGACUGAGACACGGCCCAGACUCCUACGGGAGCAG